GCGUUGAAAAGUACGUGGAUGAGUUGUGGAUAGGGGUGAAAUGCCAAUCGAACCCAGAGAUAGCUGGUUCUCCCCGAAAUAGCUUUAGGGCUAGCGUCAUGAAGUACCUUAUGGGGGUAGAGCACUGGUUAGGCUAGGGGCCUUAUCCGGUUACCGAACCAUCCCAAACUCCGAAUACCAUAAGGGUAAUCAUGGCAGUCAGACAGUGGGUGACAAGGUCCAUUGUCGAGAGGGAAACAGCCCAGACCAACAGCUAAGGUCCCAAAAUCUAUGCUAAGUGGGAAAGGAUGUAGAGUUGCACAGACAGCCAGGAUGUUGGCUUAGAAGCAGCCACCAUUUAAAGAGUGCGUAAUAGCUCACUGGUCAAGUGACUCUGCGCCGAAAAUGUAACGGGGCUAAGCAUAGUACCGAAGCUUUGGAUUUGAUAUUUAAGAUAUUGAGUGGUAGGGGAGCGUUCCUAUUGGGCAGAAGCUAUACCGGAAGGAGUAGUGGACUGGUAGGAAGUGAGAAUGCUGGCAUAAGUAAGCGAGAAGGCAGGUGAGAAUCCUGCCCGCCGUAAACCUGAGGUUUCCUGGGGAAGGCUCGUCCGCCCAGGGUAAGCCGGGACCUAACCCGAGGCCUAAAGGCGUAGGGGAUGGACAACUGGUUGAGAUUCCAGUGCCACCAGGCUUUCGUUUGAGCGAAGGGGUGACGCAGGAGGAUAGGUGAAGCGCACGGAAGGAAGAGUGCGUCCAAGCAUGUAGAGGGCAGAUCAGGCAAAUCCGGUCUGUGUUAACCUUGAAGUGUGAUGGGGAGGGAAGCGUAGUACCGAAGUCAUUGAUUCCAGACUGCCAAGAAAAGCCUCUAGUGAGAAAGCGGGUGCCCGUACCGCAAACCGACACAGGUAGGUGAGGAGAGAAUCCUAAGGCGCGCGAGAGAACCCUCGUUAAGGAACUCGGCAAAAUGACCCCGUAACUUCGGGAGAAGGGGUGCUCUGGUAGCGUGAUUAUUAAGUUAAGAGCGUGAGAGAGCCGCAGUGAUCAGGCCCAGGCGACUGUUUAACAAAAACACAGGUCUCUGCCAAAUCGAAAGAUGACGUAUAGAGGCUGACGCCUGCCCGGUGCUGGAAGGUUAAGGGGAAAGGUUAGUCUUCGGGCGAAGCUUUGAACCGAAGCCCCAGUGAACGGCGGCCGUAACUAUAACGGUCCUAAGGUAGCGAAAUUCCUUGUCUGGUAAGUUCAGACCCGCACGAAAGGCGUAACGAUCUGGGCACUGUCUCGACGAGGGGCUCGGUGAAAUUGUAAUACCGGUGAAGAUGCCGGUUACCUGCGAUAGGACAGAAAGACCCCGUGGAGCUUUACUGCAGCUUGAUAUUGGAUUUUGGUAGUUCAUGUACAGGAUAGGUGGGAGGCAGAGAAAGCAGGUCGCAAGGCUUGCUGGAGCCAAUGGUGGGAUACCACUCUUGAAUUACUGGAGUUCUAACCUGGCACCGUGACCCGGUGCAGGGACAGUUUCAGGCGGGCAGUUUGACUGGGGCGGUCGCCUCCAAAAGAGUAACGGAGGCGCCCAAA
rnacentral:rRNA from 1 species